rnacentral:rRNA from 1 species
UAGGGAAUCUUCCACAAUGGACGCAAGUCUGAUGGAGCAACGCCGCGUGAGUGAAGAAGGCUUUCGGGUCGUAAAACUCUGUUAUUGAAGAAGAACGUGUGUGACAGUAACUGGUCAUGCAGUGACGGUAUUCAAUCAGAAAGUCACGGCUAACUACGUGCCAGCAGCCGCGGUAAUACGUAGGUGGCAAGCGUUGUCCGGAUUUAUUGGGCGUAAAGCGAGUGCAGGCGGUCUUUUAAGUCUGAUGUGAAAGCCUUCGGCUUAACCGAAGAAGGGCAUCGGAAACUGGGGGACUUGAGUGCAGAAGAGGAG